GUGAUGUGGACUGAAAAUAAGUAGGGAAGCACGUGAGCUGACUGUCAAGAAAAGCCGCUAUUGUUUGCAGGAUACCCGUACCGUAAACCGACACAGGUGGAUGAGGAGAGAAUCCUAAGGCCGACGGGAGAAGCAUUGUUAAGGAACUCGGCAAAAUGACUCCGUAACUUCGGGAGAAGGAGUGCCAGUAAGAUGGCCGCAGAGAAUUGGCCCAAGCAACUGUUUAGCAAAAACACAGGUCUAUGCAAAACCGAAAGGUGAGGUAUAUGGGCUGACGCCUGCCCGGUGCUGGAAGGUUAAGGGGAGAGGUUAGCGCAAGCGAAGCUUUGAACUUAAGCCCCAGUAAACGGCGGCCGUAACUAUAACGGUCCUAAGGUAGCGAAAUUCCUUGUCGGGUAAGUUCCGACCCGCACGAAAGGCGUAAUGAUUUGGGCACUGUCUCAACAAUGCACCCGGUGAAAUUGAAAUACCAGUGAAGAUGCUGGUUACCUGCGCCAGGACGGAAAGACCCCAUGGAGCUUUACUCCAGCUUGAUACUGGGAUUCGGUAUUGCAUGUACAGGAUAGGUGGGAGGCUAGGAAAUGGUAACGCCAGUUGCCAUGGAGCCAAUGUUGGGAUACCACCCUUGCAGUACUGGGUUUCUAACCAGCAGCCGUGAUCCGGCUGGGGGACAAUGUCAGGUGGGGAGUUUGACUGGGGCGGUCGCCUCCGAAAGGGUAUCGGAGGCGCUCAAAGGUUCCCUCAGAAUGGUUGGAAACCAUUCGAAGAGUGCAAAGGCAGAAGGGAGCUUGACUGCGACACCGACGGGUGGAGCAGGUACGAAAGUAGGACUUAGUGAUCCGGUGGUAUAAAGUGGGAUUGCCAUCGCUCAACGGAUAAAAGCUACCCUGGGAUAACAGGCUUAUCACUCCCAAGAGUUCACAUCGACGGAGUGGUUUGGCACCUCGAUGUCGGCUCAUCGCAUCCUGGGGCUGAAGUAGGUCCCAAGGGUUGGGCUGUUCGCCCAUUAAAGCGGUACGCGAGCUGGGUUCAGAACGUCGUGAGACAGUUCGGUCCCUAUCCGGCGUGGGCGUAGGAUAUUUGAGAGGAGCUGUCCUUAGUACGAGAGGACCGGGAUGGACUGGCCGCUGUUGUAUCUGUUGUCUUACCAAAGGCAUAGCAGAGUAGCCAAGCCGGGAAGGGAUAAACGCUGAAGGCAUCUAAGCGUGAAGCCCCCCUCAAGAUGAGAUAUCUCAUAACGUCAAGUUAGUAAGACCCCUUGAAGACGACGAGGUAGAUAGGGCAGAGGUGGAAGUGUGGUAACACAUGGAGCUGACUGUUACUAAUAGGUCGAGGGCAUAAUC
rnacentral:rRNA from 1 species